UUAUUUUCACUCUAAUUUGAUUAGGAUCUACUCAGUUUGGUAUUCUUAUGCAAAAUGUCAAAAAGUGAGUUAUCGGGUACUGGAUAAUUGAGUAACAUUUACCCAAAUUUUCAUAAUUACCAUGUUUACUCAGUUUUGAGUUAUUAUCCAUGAUGUUUACUCACCCCUGAGUAUAUGUAUAUGUCAAAAGUUUUCAACAGCGAUAUUAUCUGUUUCCGAAGAACAAUUGGUGUCGCUUUUUAUUCGUUUGCUAGCACCCAACAUCAUUAUUGCAGAGGAUUUGAAAACAUAAAAAAACAUCUCUUCAAAAUGAACAACCGCAUGUUGUGUGUCCUGCGAUGCCGUUUCAAGUCGGGCUUUUAUUCGUGAUAAUGAACGGAAACAUUUGUAUCGAUGUACAGUGCCCGAUAAAUGCAAUCGAUACAAUUUAAAUCCUUCGCAGUGUUUGGUGACGGAUGAUGACGGAUCUUCUGGUGUGCGUACUGUACAAAAACAUGAGCCACAGUUCACGGGCAACUAUGAACCGCUUGGUUGCCGCAUUAUAUAAAGACACGUGAAUGAUUUAAAACUUUUAUAAUGUUUCGAUGAAAAAUAAAUCUAGGAUUUUGAUUGUUCUGAA